ensembl:misc_RNA Metazoa_SRP Metazoan signal recognition particle RNA
GCCGGGCGCGGUGGCGCCCGCCUGUAGUCCCAGCUACUCGGGAGGCUGAGGCCGGAGGAUCGCUUGAGUCCAGGAGUUCUGGGCUGUCGUGCGCUAUGCCGAUCGGGUGUCCGCACUAAGUUCGGCAUCAAUAUGGUGACCUCCCGGGAGCGGGGGACCACCAGGUUGCCUAAGGAGGGGUGAACCGGCCCAGGUCAGAAACAGAGCAGGUCAAAAAGUAGAAUUCUUCCCUCAAAACUGUUACAGGAGAGCAAACCCCAAUUCCCUGACAGGAACCAGGGAUUCAUCUCCCUCUG